rnacentral:tRNA from 1 species
UCCCGAGUGGCUCAGAUGGUAAAGAUUCUGCCUGCAAAGUGGGAGACCCAGGUUCAAUCCCUGGGUUGGGAA